AGUCCACUUUCAGUUCGUUAGCGGACACUGCACCGUUCGGUACUAGGAAGUUGUGGUGAUGAGAUAAUUUGUGACUAUCGUCUACCUGUAUGGGGAAGUAGGGUGGAGCUUCCUUUGUUGUCUGCACUUCGUCAAUGAUUCGACUGCGUUUUCCGUUGGCUAGCCUACUGAAAUUACAAGGCAAGCGCAUCAAGUGAUCCAGGCUCAUGAAUGGGAAAAUGUUGGUAAAGUCUCAACGAAAAAAAAGUCAGGUGUCAGGAGUGGUAUCAAGUUCUGCCCAGGAAGGUGUGAAGACUCCGAAAAUGCAGAACAAGAAUCGUAAGAGCGAGUGAAGGAAGUACAAGCUUCAGAAAAAAGAAGCCUGGAUAACAACUGCUGAUGGAAAGAAAAAAGCAACUCUGACGAACAGAAGAAAAUGGGGAUGAUUUGAUGGACAGAUUAAGAAGAAUAAAAAUAUGGUAAAGUGUUACUCAUGAAGAGAAAAAAAUUGAAAAGUGAUGCUGAUCAUGUAUUUUAAACAAGAUUAGACUGAUGAUGAGAGAGCCAAGCCUCUUCAGCCAAUGAUCUCUCUAGCUUCAAAGUGAGUCGACCUACAAAACUUGCUGCAAGAAAAAUGGGAGGAAUUGUCAGGUGCCACUGAUAUUGGUCUGAAUGACCCUGAAGAGAACUGUGGUGGUGAAGUAGAAACUCUGCUCAUUACUCUUUAUAAAGGAGGGAUGCCAUUUGAGUUAAAUGGAAGAAAACAUGAAA